UACGUAGGCAGCGAGCGUUGUUCGGAAUUACUGGGCGUAAAGAGUGUGUAGGCGGUGCUCUAAGUUCGGUGUGAAAUCUCCUGGCUUAACUGGGAGGGUGCGCCGGAAACUGGGGUGCUCGAGCGUGGGAGAGGAAAGCGGAAUUCCUGGUGUAGCGGUGAAAUGCGUAGAUAUCAGGAGGAACACCUGUGGUGUAGACAGCUUUCUGGACCAUUGCUGACGCUGAGACACGAAAGCAUGGGGAGCAAACAGG
rnacentral:rRNA from 1 species